rnacentral:lncRNA from 1 species
CAACGGUCUAAUCUAUAUAAAAAACGAGAAACGAGAAACACGUAUAAAUAACAUAAACAAACGACAACUACUGUACAUCCGAUUCCUGACUUAGGACAGGUGCAAACAUUUGCAGCGGGAUUAAACGUUUUAAUGGUACCAAACCUUCUCCCUUUUUCUGAAACAAUAGCAUAACAUCACAACAUAGAAAACCACACGAUAAAAUAUCAAUUAGAAGGCUCAAUCAAAAAAACGUAAAUUAACACACUAUGAACGAAUAAAUUUGAUCUGCGAUACCUGAAUGCAAAUGCACAGUUAAUAAAAUAUUAGGGACAA